ensembl:lncRNA
GAAAUGCAAACCACUAGGAGGCUUUGUGCAGAUGAGUGACAUAAACUGAGUUACGUGUUCAGAUGGUUCCUUGGAAUGGAAGCAGAGCAGUGAGAGAAGCAGAACAGUUAGGAGGUUACUGCAGUAACCCGGGUGAGAAGUAAAGGUGACUCUGAGUUGUGAUGGGAAAACAUGUUUGAAAUACAGUUAAUAGUGUUUGCUGAUGGGUUGGGUCAAAUUCCCUAAGUGAGGGAAAGAAGAGAACCAAAAAUAACUCCCAGAAUUUUGGCCUGAGCAGCUGUAAGAUGGAUCUGUCUUUUAUGGAGAAGGGGAAGACUAUUGUAGGAGAAAGUUUGGGGAGAAAGAUCAGAAAUUCGGGUUUGGAUGUGUUAACUCUGAGAUGCCUGUUAGACAUUCAAAUGGAGACCGUAAGCAACAAUUGGAUGUAUAAGGAAGGACAGAAGGCUGGGCUUGGAAUAUGACUUUUAGAGAUGUGAGACUAUAUGAAAUUACCUAGGAGUGAAUAUAGAGUAGAAAUGGUCUGAGGACUGAACCUUCGGAUUCUCCAAAGUUCCAAGGUCAGGAAAGUGGUUGAUCCAAUUAAGGAGACUGGGGAGGAGCAGCUUGCUAGAGUAAGUGUCAUCAGUUGCCUCAUGCUGCUGAUUGGGUGAGGACAAAGAAUUGACCACUGAAUCUAGCAACAUGGAGGACAUUGGUGAACUUGACAGACAACUCAGGUGCAUGUGGAAACAGCUCGCAGUGAUCCAGUAGUGAAAGGAAAACUGAUGAUGCAGAAGAAGAGAGGGAGAAAAUUGCUCAGGCCAUAUCUCUGAGUAGACCAGAGGGGAUGAGAUCAGCCAGCAGAGGGCUGAUUUAGGGUUUUGUUUGGAUUUUUUUCACGCUGCUCAGAGAGAAUUCCAUCCAAAGGUCCUCAAGUGCCUGGAAAAGGACAAGGAAAGAGCAUCUCUGAAUCAAGUGCCUGGAAAAGGACAAGGAAAGAGCAAC